UACGAAGGGGGCUAGCGUUGCUCGGAAUCACUGGGCGUAAAGGGUGCGUAGGCGGGUCUUUAAGUCAGGGGGUGAAAUCCUGGAGCUCAACUCCAGAACUGCCUUUGAUACUGAAGAUCUUGAGUUCGGGAGAGGUGAGUGGAACUGCGAGUGUAGAGGUGAAAGUGCGUAGAUAUCUGGAGGAACACCGGUGGCGAAGGCGGCAUCCUGGACCGGCAUUGACGCUGAGGCGCGAAAGCCAGGGGGAGCAAAGCGGGG
rnacentral:rRNA from 1 species